AACGAACGCUGGCGGCGUGCCUAACACAUGCAAGUCGUGCGAGAAAGUUCCUUCGGGAGCGAGUAAAGCGGCGCACGGGUGAGUAACACGUAGGUAACCUGCCCCCCAGUCUGGAACAACUAGAGGAAACUCUAGCUAAUGCCGGAUGAGACCACGAUCCCUUCGGGGGUUGCGGCCAAAGAUGGCCUCUACUUGUAAGCUAUCGCUGAGGGAUGGGCCUGCGGGCCAUUAGCUUGUUGGUGAGGUAACGGCUCACCAAGGCUGUGAUGGCUAGCUGGUCUGAGAGGAUGACCAGCCACGCUGGGACUGAGACACGGCCCAGACUCCUACGGGAGGCAGCAGUGGGGAAUAUUGCGCAAUGGGCGAAAGCCUGACGCAGCGACGCCGCGUGGGUGAUGAAGGCCUGUCGU
rnacentral:rRNA from 1 species